rnacentral:rRNA from 1 species
GAAAUUCGCCUUCAUGAAGCUGGAAUUGCUAGUAAUGGCAGGUCAGCAUACUGCCGUGAAUACGUUCCCGGGCCUUGUACACACCGCCCGUCACACCAUGAGAGUUGGGAAUACCCGAAGCCUGUGAGCUAACUUUUAGAGGCAGCAGUCGAAGGUAGAAUCAAUGAUUGGGGUGAAGUCGUAACAAGGUACC